CCAGGUGGACGGAAACCUGCGAUUGUUAGAUCCUUCGAUUAAGGUGCGAAUUCUAUACUGAAGAAUAUAUGAAAACGGAACGGUAGAGCAAAGAGAAAGCAUAGGAUAUUCUAGAAGCAGCAUUUACGGACUCUCGGGUAUAUCGACAAAGGCAUAAAAACUUUGAGGGUCGACAAGUGUUGCAUGACAGACGAUGUUCGUGACAUAGAAGUUAAGGGAGACCUUGUACAUGGCAGGCUCGCACCGACAGGCCCGAUCAAGCUGAGCGACAGCGAGGCCGGCGUCGAGGCCUGGCGCGAACACUGCCAGGCUGAGCGGUCCCUCCCAUCGUCUGGCCAGCUCCACGAUCCCGUAAACCUGAUCGGCAGUGGCAUGUGUAGACAGCGUGACCUGGGGCAACCCGUCUGUCGCUUCGGUGGCGCCGCGCAACACGAAUGGGCUCUUCUCGCCGAUUUCGGGGCUCCAAGUGAGCUUGGACGGUGGAUAAGAAAGGACAUCCGGUAGACCAUGGUACCACUUGCAAGCACUUCCGUUACGGGGUUGCCGACCUGUCAUGUACAU